CCCUUAGAUGUUCUGGGCCGCACGCGCGCUACACUGACGAAGUCAGCGAGCAUGUCCUACGCCGACAGGUGCGGGGAAUCUUGUCAAACUUCGUCGUGAUGGGGAUUGAUUAUUGAAAUUCUUGAUCAUCAACGAGGAAUUCCUAGUAAGCGCAAGUCAGCAGCUUGCGUUGAUUACGUCCCUGCCCUUUGUACACACCGCCCGUCGCUACUACCGAUUGAAUGGUUUAGGGAGAUCUUCGGAUUGGCGCCACUGCGGCUCAGCAAUGGGCUCGGUGGAUGCCGAAAAGUUGAUCAAACUUGAUCAUUUAGAGGAAGUAAAAGUCGUAACA
rnacentral:rRNA from 1 species